CCCUUAGAUGUUCUGGGCUGCACACGUGCUACACUGGCAGGUUCAGCGAGCUUCAUGCCCCGAUCUGAAAGGAAUGGGAAAUCUUUUCAAAACCUGCCGUGCUUGGGAUAGAUGUUUGCAAUUAUUCAUCUUCAACGAGGAUUGCCUUGUAAGCGCACGUCACCAGCGUGCAUUGAAUACGACCCUGUAUUCUGUACACACCGCCCGUCGCUCCUACCGAUUGAAGUUUUCGGUGAGUUGACAGGAGGAUUUUUUUGAAACUGGUUCGCCAGUGGAUUUUAGAUCCAAAUGCCAACGAAUCGAUGGCUUUAGAGGAAGGAGAAGUCGUAACA
rnacentral:rRNA from 1 species